rnacentral:rRNA from 1 species
UACGGAGGGCGCAAGCGUUGAUCGGAAUUAUUGGGCGUAAAGAGCGUGUAGGCGGCUAAUUAAGUCAGAUGUGAAAGCCCUGAGCUUAACUCGGGAAGUGCAUUUGAAACUGUUCGGCUAGAGUAUUGGAGAGGGGGGUGGAAUUCCUGGUGUAGCGGUGAAAUGCGUAGAGAUGAGGAGGAACACCGGUGGCGAAGGCGGCCCCCUGGCCAAAUACUGACGCUCAGGUGCGAGAGCGUGGGUAGCAAACAGG